CCUACGGGUGGCUGCAGUGGGGAAUAUUGGACAAUGGGCGAAAGCCUGAUCCAGCCAUGCCGCGUGUGUGAAGAAGGCCUUCGGGUUGUAAAGCACUUUCAGUGGGGAAGAAAGCCUUGGGGCUAAUACCCUCGAGGAAGGACAUCACCCACAGAAGAAGCACCGGCUAACUCCGUGCCAGCAGCCGCGGUAAUACGGAGGGUGCGAGCGUUAAUCGGAAUUACUGGGCGUAAAGCGCGCGUAGGCGGUCUGAUAAGCCGGUUGUGAAAGCCCCGGGCUCAACCUGGGAACGGCAUCCGGAACUGUCAGGCUAGAGUGCAGGAGAGGAAGGUAGAAUUCCCGGUGUAGCGGUGAAAUGCGUAGGGAUCGGGAGGAAUACCAGUGGCGAAGGCGGCCUUCUGGACUGACACUGACGCUGAGGUGCGAAAGCGUGGGUAGCAAACAGGAUUAGAUACCCCAGUAGUC
rnacentral:rRNA from 1 species